rnacentral:rRNA from 1 species
CAAGUCGAGUGCGCGUUUCCGUAGCAAUACGGAGAUGGCGCACGGCGCACGGGUGCGUAACACGUGGGUAAUCUGCCCUCUGAUGGGGAAUAACUCGCCGAAAGGCGAGCUAAUACCGCAUAACAUUCCUUGGACUCCGGUUCGAGGAUUCAAAGGCGUAAGUCGUCGGAGGUGGAGCCCGCGCACGAUUAGCUAGUUGGUAGGGUAAUGGCCUACCAAGGCUAUGAUCGUUAGCUGGUCUGAGAGGAUGGCCAGCCACACUGGAACUGAGACACGGUCCAGACUCCUACGGGAGGCAGCAGUGGGGAAUCUUGCACAAUGGGCGAAAGCCUGAUGCAGCGACGCCGCGUGGGGGAUGAAGCUUCUCGGAGUGUAAACCCCUUUCGACCGGGACGAAUACCUCGCAAGAGGGGUGACGGUACCGGUAUAAGAAGCCCCGGCUAACUACGUGCCAGCAGCCGCGGUAAGACGUAGGGGGCCAGCGUUGCUCGGAAUUACUGGGUGUAAAGGGUUCGUAGGCGGUGUGGCAAGUCGGGAGUGAAAUCUCUGGGCUCAACUCAGGGGCUGCUUCCGAAACUGCCGUGCUAGAGUGUGGGAGAGGCGCGUGGAAUUGCAGGUGUAGCGGUGAAAUGCGUAGAUAUCUGCAGGAACACCCGUGGCGAAAGCGGCGCGCUGGACCACUACUGACGCUGAGGAACGAAAGCUAGGGGAGCAAACAGGAUUAGAUACCCUGGUAGUCCUAGCCCUAAACGAUCAGGACUUGGGGUGCCACCCGUUCGGGUGUCGUCCCGGAGCUAACGCGUUAAGUCCUGCACCUGGGGAGUACGGUCGCAAGACUGAAACUCAAAGGAAUUGACGGGGGCCC